CUUCCCUUGGAAUGGCUGCGCGCAUUGGUAAUGCUUUGCGCUGUUCGCCCUGCUUCGGGAUGAUGAAUCGCAUUGCGAUUGCGGUCGUCUUCUUGAGCGGCGUGGGCGUUCACGUGUGGGCUUCUACCUCUGGAAGCUUCACAACGGUGGGCUUUCGCAAAUGAUCUUGUUAUCGUUGCGAUGCUGACCGCGUGCUGUCGGGCGUAGGACUGCCUCUGUGGUGGCCCUUGCUCGUCAGUGAUGUAUC
rnacentral:misc_RNA from 1 species